rnacentral:lncRNA from 1 species
AAUAUCAUGAUUAACUACUUUCACUCAUAUAUGUUGAAAACUAUUCAGUUUUAUUAUAUUUUAAUUUAUAUUACUUGAAACUGUUUAUAAUUUCAUGAUUUUAAUUUUUUACUUGUCAAAAUAUUUUUUUAAUUUUUUAUAAAUUAUUUUUAAGAUCAACUAUACCUGAAGACUUCUUUGGAAGUCGUCUACACGACUUACAAUAUCUCAGAAGACUCAGACGACUUUCCGGAGAUAUAUUCAUAAAAAUGAGUUCUGUUUUUUUUUUUUGUCACAAGGGGCUGGCUGUAAUUUCACAAGGCUUUUAGGUUAGUUUUGCAUUUGAUUCAAGUUUGGUUAUACUUUUGUAUUUAAAAUCAAGUUUUAAGCUAUAUUUUUGUAUUCUCUAUAAAGAUAUAUAAACUAUUUCAUAAAGAUAUAUUUUUGUAUUCUCUAUAAAUUUUAUCUUAUUUAAUAAUAGUAAAUUUUAAUUUUUUUAAAAAGAUCAAUAGAAUUUUUUUUGAAUUAUUUCUGGUUUAUUUUUAUUAUAAAUUAGUAAUUAUAAAAAUGAUACAUUAUACAAAUUUAAUGUAUUUU